GAUGAAGAACGUAGUGAAAUGCGAUAAGUAGUGUGAAUUGCAGAAUUCAGUGAAUCAUCGAGUCUUUGAACGCACAUUGCGCCCCCUGGUAUUCCGGGGGGCAUGCCUGUCCGAGCGUCAUUGCCGCCCUCAAGCACGGCUUGUGUGUUGGGCCCCCGCCCCCCGGCUUCGGGGGGCGGGCCCGAAAGGCAGCGGCGGCACCGCGUCCGGUCCUCGAGCGUAUGGGGCUUCGUCACCCGCUCUGUAGGCCCGGCCGGCGCCCGCCGGCGACCCCAAUCAAUCUUUCCAGGUUGACCUCGGAUCAGGUAGGGAUACCCGCUGAACUUAAGCAUAUCAAUAAGCGGAGGA
rnacentral:misc_RNA from 1 species